UACGUAGGGUGCGAGCGUUGUCCGGAAUUAUUGGGCGUAAAGAGCUCGUAGGCGGUUUGUCGCGUCGACUGUGAAAACCUACAGCUUAACUGUGGGCUUGCAGUCGAUACGGGCAGACUAGAGUUCGGUAGGGGAGACUGGAAUUCCUGGUGUAGCGGUGAAAUGCGCAGAUAUCAGGAGGAACACCGGUGGCGAAGGCGGGUCUCUGGGCCGAAACUGACGCUGAGGAGCGAAAGCGUGGGGAGCAAACAGG
rnacentral:rRNA from 1 species